rnacentral:rRNA from 1 species
GAUGAACGCUGGCGGCGUGCCUAAUACAUGCAAGUCGAGCGAACAGACGAGGAGCUUGCUCCUCUGACGUUAGCGGCGGACGGGUGAGUAACACGUGGAUAACUUACCUAUAAGACUGGGAUAACUUCGGGAAACCGGAGCUAAUACCGGAUAAUAUAUUGAACCGCAUGGUUCAAUAGUGAAAGACGGUUUUGCUGUCACUUAUAGAUGGAUCCGCGCCGCAUUAGCUAGUUGGUAAGGUAACGGCUUACCAAGGCAACGAUGCGUAGCCGACCUGAGAGGGUGAUCGGCCACACUGGAACUGAGACACGGUCCAGACUCCUACGGGAGGCAGCAGUAGGGAAUCUUCCGCAAUGGGCGAAAGCCUGACGGAGCAACGCCGCGUGAGUGAUGAAGGUCUUCGGAUCGUAAAACUCUGUUAUUAGGGAAGAACAAAUGUGUAAGUAACUAUGCACGUCUUGACGGUACCUAAUCAGAAAGCCACGGCUAACUACGUG